GCUUACGGCCAUACCACCUGAACACCGCCCGAUUCUGUCCGAUCUCGGAAGCUAAGCAGGGUCGGGCCUGGUUAGUACUUGGAGUGGAGACCGCCUGGGAAUACCAGGUGCUGUAAGCU
rnacentral:rRNA from 1 species